rnacentral:rRNA from 1 species
UACUAACUCUGGCGGCGUGCUUAACACAUGCAAGUCGAACGGAAAGGCCCUACCUUUGUGGGGUGCUCGAGUGGCGAACGGGUGAGUAACACGUGAGUAACCUGCCCUUCACUUUGGGAUAAGCUUAGGAAACUGGGCCUAAUACCGGAUAUGAGCUCCCGCCUCAUGGGGUGUGUUGGAAAGUUUCUGCGUUUUGGAUUGGGCGCCCGGCUUAUCAGCUUGUUGGUGGGGUAUUGGCUUACCAAGGCGCGGACGGGUAGCCGGCCUGAGAGGGUGACCGGCCACAUUGGGACUGAGAUACGGCCCAGACUCCUACGGGAGGCAGCAGUGGGGAAUAUUGCACAAUGGGCGGAAGCCUGAUGCAGCGACGCCGCGUGAGGGAUGACGGCCUUCGGGUUGUAAACCGCUUUCGGCUGGGACGAAGCGUGAGUGACGGUACCUGCAGAAGAAGCACCGGCUAACUAUGUG